CCCGAGCGUNGUCCGGAUUUAUUGGGCGUAAAGGGAGCGCAGGCGGUCAGGAAAGUCUGGAGUAAAAGGNUAUGGCUCAACCAUAGUGUGCUCUGGAAACUNUCUGACUUGAGUGCAGAAGGGGAGAGUGGAAUUCCAUGUGUAGCGGUGAAAUGCGUAGAUAUAUGGAGGAACACCAGUGGCGAAAGCGGCUCUCUGGUCUGUCACUGACGCUGAGGCUCGAAAGCGUGGGUAGCGAACAGGAUUAGAUACCCUGGUAGUCCACGCCGUAAACGAUGAGUGCUAGGUGUUAGGCCCUUUCCGGGGCUUAGUGCCGGAGCUAACGCAAUAAGCACUCCGCCUGGGGAGUACGACCGCAAGGUUGAAACUCAAAGGAAUUGACGGGGGCCCGCACAAGCGGUGGAGCAUGUGGUUUAAUUCGAAGCAACGCGAAGAACCUUACCAGGUCUUGACAUCCCGAUGCUAUUCUUAGAGAUAGGAAGUUACUUCGGUACAUCGGAGACAGGUGGUGCAUGGUUGUCGUCAGCUCGUGUCGUGAGAUGUUGGGUUAAGUCCCGCAACGAGCGCAACCCUUAUUGUUAGUUGCCAUCAUUAAGUUGGGCACUCUAGCGAGACUGCCGGUAAUAAACCGGAGGAAGGUGGGGAUGACGUCAAAUCAUCAUGCCCCUUAUGACCUGGGCUACACACGUGCUACAAUGGUCGGUACAACGAGUUGCGAGCCGGUGACGGCAAGCUAAUCUCUGAAAGCCGAUCUCAGUUCGGAUUGGAGGCUGCAACUCGCCUCCAUGAAGUCGGAAUCGCUAGUAAUCGCGGAUCAGCACGCCGCGGUGAAUACGUUCCCGGGCCUUGUACACACCGCCCGUCACACCACGAGAGUUUGUAACACCCGAANUC
rnacentral:rRNA from 1 species